GUUGUAUGGUUAAGUGACUAAGCGUACACGGUGGAUGCCUUGGCAGUCAGAGGCGAUGAAAGACGUAGUAACUUGCGAUAAGCCCAGAUUAGGUAGUAACAACCAUUUGAGUCUGGGAUUUCUGAAUGGGGAAACCCACUUACAUAAGUAAGUAUCAUUAACUGAAUACAUAAGUUAAUGAGGCGAACCGGGGGAACUGAAACAUCUAAGUACCCCGAGGAAAAGAAAUCAACCGAGAUUCCGAAAGUAGCGGCGAGCGAAAUUGGACUAGCCCUUAAGCUUUACACGCGUUAGACGAACGGUCUGGAAAGUCCGACGAUACAGGGUGAUAGUCCCGUAGUUGACGACGUGUGUUCAGUGAAAUCGAGUAGGGCGGGACACGUGAUAUCCUGUCUGAAUAUGGGGGGACCAUCCUCCAAGGCUAAAUACUACUGACUGACCGAUAGUGAACCAGUACCGUGAGGGAAAGGCGAAAAGAACCCCUGUGAGGGGAGUGAAAUAGAACCUGAAACCGUGUACGUACAAGCAGUAGGAGCAGGCUUUGUCCUGUGACUGCGUACCUUUUGUAUAAUGGGUCAGCGACUUAUAUUCAGUGGCAAGGUUAACCAUCUAGGGGAGCCGUAGGGAAACCGAGUCUUAACUGGGCGUUCAGUCUCUGGAUAUAGACCCGAAACCAGGUGAUCUAGCCAUGGGCAGGUUGAAGGUUGAGUAACAUCAACUGGAGGACCGAACCGACUAAUGUUGAAAAAUUAGCGGAUGACUUGUGGCUAGGGGUGAAAGGCCAAUCAAACCUGGAGAUAGCUGGUUCUCCCCGAAAGCUAUUUAGGUAGCGCCUCGGACGAAUACUACUGGGGGUAGAGCACUGUUAAGGCUAGGGGGUCAUCCCGACUUACCAACCCUUUGCAAACUCCGAAUACCAGUAAGUACUAUCCGGGAGACACACGGCGGGUGCUAACGUCCGUCGUGGAGAGGGAAACAACCCAGACCGCCAGCUAAGGUCCCAAAUUACUACUAAGUGGGAAACGAUGUGGGAAGGCUCAGACAGCCAGGAUGUUGGCUUAGAAGCAGCCAUCAUUUAAAGAAAGCGUAAUAGCUCACUGGUCGAGUCGGCCUGCGCGGAAGAUGUAACGGGGCUAAGUAGUAAACCGAAGCUGCGGCAAUAUACUUUUGUAUAUUGGGUAGGGGAGCGUUCUGUAAGCGGUUGAAGGUGUGUGGUAACGCAUGCUGGACGUAUCAGAAGUGCGAAUGCUGACAUGAGUAACGAUAAAGGGGGUGAAAAACCUCCUCGCCGGAAGACCAAGGGUUCCUGUCCAACGUUAAUCGGGGCAGGGUAAGUCGACCCCUAAGGCGAGGCCGAAAGGCGUAGUCGAUGGGAAACGGGUUAAUAUUCCCGUACUUCUUACAAUUGCGAUGGGGGGACGGAGAAGGCUAGGUGGGCCUGGCGACGGUUGUCCAGGUUCAAGUGCGUAGGCUGAGAGAUUAGGUAAAUCCGGUUUCUCUUAAGGCUGAGACACGACGUCGAGCACCUACGGGUGUGAAGUCAUUGAUGCCAUGCUUCCAGGAAAAGCCUCUAAGCUUCAGAUUGUAAGGAAUCGUACCCCAAACCGACACAGGUGGUCGGGUAGAGAAUACCAAGGCGCUUGAGAGAACUCGGGUGAAGGAACUAGGCAAAAUGGUACCGUAACUUCGGGAGAAGGUACGCUCUCGACGGUGAAGUCCCUUGCGGAUGGAGCUAUUGAGAGUCGCAGAUACCAGGUGGCUGCAACUGUUUAUUAAAAACACAGCACUGUGCAAAAUCGUAAGAUGACGUAUACGGUGUGACGCCUGCCCGGUGCCGGAAGGUUAAUUGAUGGGGUUAGACUUCGGUCGAAGCUCUUGAUCGAAGCCCCGGUAAACGGCGGCCGUAACUAUAACGGUCCUAAGGUAGCGAAAUUCCUUGUCGGGUAAGUUCCGACCUGCACGAAUGGCGUAAUGAUGGCCACGCUGUCUCCACCCGAGACUCAGUGAAAUUGAAAUCGCUGUGAAGAUGCAGUGUACCCGCGGCUAGACGGAAAGACCCCGUGAACCUUUACUACAGCUUGGCACUGAACAUUGACCCUACAUGUGUAGGAUAGGUGGGAGGCUUUGAAGCACGUACGCCAGUAUGUGUGGAGCCGUCCUUGAAAUACCACCCUUGUAGUGUUGAUGUUCUAACGUCGACCCCUUAUCGGGGUUGCGGACAGUGCCUGGUGGGUAGUUUGACUGGGGCGGUCUCCUCCCAAAGAGUAACGGAGGAGCACGAAGGUGGGCUAAUCACGGUUGGACAUCGUGAGGUUAGUGCAAUGGCAUAAGCCCGCUUGACUGCGAGAAUGACAAUUCGAGCAGGUGCGAAAGCAGGUCAUAGUGAUCCGGUGGUUCUGAAUGGAAGGGCCAUCGCUCAACGGAUAAAAGGUACUCCGGGGAUAACAGGCUGAUACCGCCCAAGAGUUCAUAUCGACGGCGGUGUUUGGCACCUCGAUGUCGGCUCAUCACAUCCUGGGGCUGAAGUCGGUCCCAAGGGUAUGGCUGUUCGCCAUUUAAAGUGGUACGCGAGCUGGGUUUAGAACGUCGUGAGACAGUUCGGUCCCUAUCUGCCGUGGGCGUUGGAAGAUUGAAGGGGGCUGCUCCUAGUACGAGAGGACCGGAGUGGACGAACCUCUGGUGUUCGGGUUGUGUCGCCAGACGCAUUGCCCGGUAGCUAAGUUCGGAAUCGAUAACCGCUGAAAGCAUCUAAGCGGGAAGCGAGCCCUGAGAUGAGUCUUCCCUGAUACUUUAAGUAUCCUAAAGGGUUGUCGGAGACUACGACGUUGAUAGGUCAGGUGUGUAAGUGCUGUGAGGCAUUGAGCUAACUGAUACUAAUUGCCCGUGAGGCUUAACCAUACAACACCCAAGGGGUUU
rnacentral:rRNA from 1 species